rnacentral:rRNA from 1 species
ACUCCUACGGGAGGCAGCAGUGGGGAAUAUUGCACAAUGGGGGAAACCCUGAUGUAGCCAUGCCGCGUGUGUGAAGAAGGCCUUCGGUUGUAAAGCACUUUCAGUAGGGAGGAAGGUAGUGUAGUUAACACCUGCAUUAUUUGACGUUACCUACAGAAGAAGCACCGGCUAACUCCGUGCCAGCAGCCGCGGUAAUACGGAGGGUGCGAGCGUUAAUCGGAAUUACUGGGCGUAAAGCGCAUGCAGGCGGCCUGUUAAGUCAGAUGUGAAAGCCCGGGGCUUAACCUCGGAAUUGCAUUUGAAACUGGCAGGCUAGAGUCUUGUAGAGGGGGUAGAAUUUCAGGUGUAGCGGUGAAAUGCGUAGAGAUCUGAAGG